GAUGAACGCUGGCGGCGUGCCUAAUACAUGCAAGUCGAGCGAACGGACGAGAAGCUUGCUUCUCUGAUGUUAGCGGCGGACGGGUGAGUAACGCGUGGAUAACCUACCUAUAAGACUGGGAUAACUUCGGGAAACCGGAGCUAAUACCGGAUAAUAUUUUGAACCGCAUGGUUCAAAAGUGAAAGACGGUCUUGCUGUCACUUAUAGAUGGAUCCGCGCUGCAUUAGCUAGUUGGUAAGGUAACGGCUUACCAAGGCAACGAUGCAUAGCCGACCUGAGAGGGUGAUCGGCCACACUGGAACUGAGACACGGUCCAGACUCCUACGGGAGGCAGCAGUAGGGAAUCUUCCGCAAUGGGCGAAAGCCUGACGGAGCAACGCCGCGUGAGUGAUGAAGGUCUUCGGGUCGUAAAACUCUGUUAUUAGGGAAGAACAUAUGUGUAAGUAACUGUGCACAUCUUGACGGUACCUAAUCAGAAAGCCACGGCUAACUACGUG
rnacentral:rRNA from 1 species